CCUAGGCUGGCUGGGCACGGGACCAUCGUGACCACCUACUCGCACCGGGGAAGGCGGCUCUGCCGGCGCCCAGCAGUGCCUGCCGCGCACACGGAUGAGUCAAAACAUCGCGUAAUUCUGUUGCUGAAGAGGAUUCAGGAAGACUGCAACAGAUGUCCAUGGCAGUAUGACUUGGUGGCAGUAUGGCAUGGCAAGAUUAAAUCCCACAGCAAGCAGAACCUGGGCUCCUUGGCACAUCAGGCUAAUGCUGCACUGCUAGAGAUGCCAUUCCUCAGAGGAAAAAUAAAACUGACAUCUUAGAUAGUCAAGUGAUGACCCCUUGGCACAGGGGUUAAGGACAGCCUGGACUACCAUCAGCUUCCAGGGGAGGAGGAGAAGCAUUCGGAGGAUAACCCAACAUGGAAAAGGUUGUGCUAAGUUUGGGCCU